UAACAGUUGGAAACGCUUGCUAAUACCGCAUAAGCGCACAGAAUCGCAUGAUCCGGUGUGAAAAACUCCGGUGGUAUGAGAUGGACCCGCGUCUGAUUAGCCAGUUGGCAGGGUAACGGCCUACCAAAGCGACGAUCAGUAGCCGACCUGAGAGGGUGACCGGCCACAUUGGGACUGAGACACGGCCCAAACUCCUACGGGAGGCAGCAGUGGGGAAUAUUGCACAAUGGGGGAAACCCUGAUGCAGCGACGCCGCGUGAGCGAAGAAGUAUUUCGGUAUGUAAAGCUCUAUCAGCAGGGAAGAAGAAUGACGGUACCUGACUAAGAAGCACCGGCUAAAUACGUGCCAGCAGCCGCGGUAAUACGUAUGGUGCAAGCGUUAUCCGGAUUUACUGGGUGUAAAGGGAGCGCAGGCGGUGCGGCAAGUCUGAUGUGAAAGCCCGGGGCUCAACCCCGGUACUGCAUUGGAAACUGUCGUACUAGAGUGUCGGAGGGGUAAGUGGAAUUCCUAGUGUAGCGGUGAAAUGCGUAGAUAUUAGGAGGAACACCAGUGGCGAAGGCGGCUUACUGGACGAUAACUGACGCUGAGGCUCGAAAGCGUGGGGAGCAAACAGGAUUAGAUACCCUGGUAGUCCACGCCGU
rnacentral:rRNA from 1 species